rnacentral:rRNA from 1 species
UACGGGGGGUGCGAGCGUUGUCCGGAAUCACUGGGCGUAAAGGGCGCGUAGGUGGUUUGAUAAGGGUGUGGUGAAAGUCCGGGGCUCAACCCCGGAUCUGCCGUGCCGACUGUCAAACUCGAGGACUGUAGAGGCAGACGGAAUUCCGGGUGUAGCGGUGGAAUGCGUAGAGAUCGGGAGGAACACCAGUGGCGAAGGCGGCUACCUGGACCAGCACUGACACUGAGGCACGAAAGCGUGGGGAGCAAACAGG